UCCAGUUUAUCCUGCUGGCGGCUGCGGCUAUCUGGUUUGCACUUAGACAUGCAAGUCUUUGUGUUUCGCAAGAAAUGGAAGGCGAACUGCUCAGUAACACGUAGCUAACCUACCCUCAAGCCCGUGAUACCCUCGGGAAACUGAGGCUAAGAACGGAUAAAAGAUUUUUUCUGGAAUGAUAAAUCUUUGAACGUUGAGCGUGAGGAUGGGGCUGCGGCUGAUUAGGUAGUUGGCGGGGUAAAGGCCCACCAAGCCAAUGAUCAGUAAGGGCCUUUAGCGAGGAAGCCCUGAGAGGGAGUCUGAGACACUACUCCCAGCCCUACGGGGUGCAGCAGUCGGGAAAAUUUUGCAAUGCGCGCAAGCGUGACAGAGCAAGCCAGAGUGCGUUUCCAUAUUGGAAACGCUUUUGUGAGAUGUAGAAAGUCUUACGAAUAAGGACUGGGAGAGACUGGUGCCAGCCGCCGCGGUAAUCCCAGCAGUCCAAGUCGCAGCCACAUUUGUUGGGUCUAAAACAUCCGUAGCUUGCUUUGUAAGUCUUGUGUGAAAUCGGGCCUCUUAAGGGUCCGGCGGGCACAAGAUACUGCAGAGCUUGAGACCGGGAGACGCAAGGAGUACGGCGAGGGUAGCGGUAAAAUGUGUUGAUCCUCUCUGGACUAACAAUAGCGAAGGCACCUUGCGAGAACGGAUCUGACAGUGAGGGAUGAAGGCUAGGGGCGCAAAGUGGAUUAGAUACCCAUGUAGUCCUAGCAGUAAACACUGCACACUAAACAUUGAGGCCUCCUCGAGAGGUUUCAGUGCUGUACCGAAGGGGGAAAGUGUGCUACCUGGGAAGUAUAGUCGCAAGACCGAAACUUAAAGGAAUAGGCGGGGGAGUACUACAACGAGUGACGCGUGCGGUUCAAUUAGAUUCUACACCGUGAACCUCACCAGGAUCGACAGCAGAAUGAAGGUCAGUCUAAAGGGCUUACCUGACACGCUGAGAGGAGAUGCAUGGCCGACGUCAGCCUGUGUCGUGAGAUGACCAGUUAAAUCUGGUAACAGGCGAGACCCGUAUGUAUAUUUGCAUUUGCACACUAUACAGACUGCCUGGGUAACCAGGAGGAAGGUGCGGGCUACGUUAGGUGAGUACGUCCCAAAUACCCUGGGCUACACGCGCGCGGCAAUGCUGCAAUCAAAGGGCUGCGACUCCGAAAGGAGAAGCCAAUCUCAUAAACUGCAGCUUAGUUCAGAUUGAGGGUUGCAACUCACCCUCAUGACGCUGGAAUUCGUAGUAAUCGGAUUUUAUCAGAGUCCGGUGAAUAAGUCCCUGCUCCUUGCACUCACCGCCCGUCAAACCAACCGAGUUUUGCAUUGGCGAGGCUCGUUAGAGACGAACCUUUGUAAGACAAGGUAGGUUAAGUCGUCACAAGGUAUCCGUAGGGGAACCUGCGGAUGGAUCACCUCCUAAA
rnacentral:rRNA from 1 species